rnacentral:rRNA from 1 species
UACGGAGGGGGCUAGCGUUGUUCGGAAUUACUGGGCGUAAAGCGCACGUAGGCGGCUUUGUAAGUUAGAGGUGAAAGCCCGGGGCUCAACUCCGGAAUUGCCUUUAAGACUGCAUCGCUAGAAUUGUGGAGAGGUAAGUGGAAUUCCGAGUGUAGAGGUGAAAUUCGUAGAUAUUCGGAAGAACACCUGUGGUGUAGACAGCUUACUGGACCACUUCUGACGCUGAGACACGAAAGCGUGGGUAGCAAACAGG